UACGAAGGGGGCUAGCGUUGCUCGGAAUCACUGGGCGUAAAGGGUGCGUAGGCGGGUAUUUAAGUCAGGGGUGAAAUCCUGGAGCUCAACUCCAGAACUGCCUUUGAUACUGAGUAUCUUGAGUACGGGAGAGGUGAGUGGAACUGCGAGUGUAGAGGUGAAAUUCGUAGAUAUUCGCAAGAACACCAGUGGCGAAGGCGGCUCACUGGCCCGUUACUGACGCUGAGGCACGAAAGCGUGGGGAGCAAACGGG
rnacentral:rRNA from 1 species